rnacentral:rRNA from 1 species
UACAGAGGUCUCAAGCGUUGUUCGGAAUCACUGGGCGUAAAGGGUUCGUAGGUGGCCUGCUAAGUCGGACGUGAAAUCCCUCGGCUCAACCGGGGAACUGCGUCCGAUACUGGUGGGCUCGAGUGCAGGAGAGGAACGCGGAAUUCCAGGUGUAGCGGUGAAAUGCGCAGAUAUCAGGAGGAACACCGAUGGCGAAGGCAGAUCUCUGGGCCGUAACUGACGCUGAGGAGCGAAAGCGUGGGGAGCGAACAGG